GACGAACGCUGGCGGCGUGCUUAACACAUGCAAGUCUACGAGAACGAGGUAGCAAUAUCUCUAUUAAAGUGGCGCACGGGUGCGUAACACGUAAGCAAUCUACCUUUGGGUCUGGAAUAACUUCGAGAAAUCGAGGCUAAUACCGGAUAAUGCAGCGGCAUCGCAUGGUGAUGUUGUUAAAGUUUAAGUAAUGCCUAUAGAUGAGCUUGCGUCUGAUUAGCUAGUUGGUAGGGUAAAAGCCUACCAAGGCUACGAUCAGUAGCUGGUCUGAGAGGAUGAUCAGCCACACUGGAACUGAGACACGGUCCAGACUCCUACGGGAGGCAGCAGUGAGGAAUAUUGGGCAAUGCCCGCAAGGGUGACCCAGCAACGCCGCGUGGAGGAUGAAGGCCGUAAGGUUGUAAACUCCUGUUAG
rnacentral:rRNA from 1 species